AUCCAGAUUACGAGUCCCAAAUAGGACGAAACAAGCAUCCUGGAU
rfam:Schistosoma mansoni strain Puerto Rico chromosome W, complete genome